CCUACGGGUGUCAGCAGUGGGGAAUAUUGGGCAAUGGGCACAAGCCUGACCCAGCAACGCCGCGUGAAGGAAGAAGGCUUUCGGGUUGUAAACUUCUUUUGUCAGGGACGAAGCAAGUGACGGUACCUGACGAAUAAGCCACGGCUAACUACGUGCCAGCCGCCGCGGUAAUACGGCGGUGGCCAGCUUUAUCCGGAUUUACUGGGUGGAAAGGGCGUGUAGGCGGGACUGCAAGUCAGAUGUGAAAACCACGGGCUCAACCCGUGGCCUGCCUUUGAAACUGUAGUUCUUGAGUACUGGAGAGGCAGACGGAAUUCCUGGUGUAGCGGUGAAAUGCGUAGAGAUUAGGAGGAACGCCAGUGGCGAAGGCGGUCUGCUGGACAGCAACUGACGCUGAGGCGCGAAAGCGUGGGGAGCAAACAGGAUUAGAUACCCUAGUAGUC
rnacentral:rRNA from 1 species